CCCCUUCUGUUCGGGCCGC
rnacentral:miRNA from 1 species